rnacentral:rRNA from 1 species
CUACGGGGCGCAGCAGUGGGGAAUAUUGCACAAUGGGCGCAAGCCUGAUGCAGCCAUGCCGCGUGUAUGAAGAAGGCCUUCGGGUUGUAAAGUACUUUCAGUCAGGAGGAAGGUGGAGUCGUGAAUAGCGGUUUUAUUUGACGUUACUGACAGAAGAAGCACCGGCUAACUCCGUGCCAGCAGCCGCGGUAAUACGGAGGGUGCGGCGUUAAUCGGAAUUACUGGGCGUAAAGCGCAUGCAGGUGGUUAAUUAAGUCAGAUGUGAAACCCCCGGGCUCAACCUGGGAAUGGCAUUUGAAACUGGUUGGCUAGAGUGCUGUAGAGGGGGGUAGAAUUUCAGGUGUAGCGGUGAAAUGCGUAGAGAUCUGAAGGAAUACCGGUGGCGAAGGCGGCCCCCUGGACAGACACUGACACUCAGAUGCGAAAGCGUGGGGAGCAAACAGGAUUAGAUACCCUAGUAGUC